rnacentral:tRNA from 1 species
GUACGGUUUUCUGACGAAUUGGCAGGUCAGGAUAUACCCCGGAUCUGCGUUCACACUGCAGAGGUCGGCAGUUCGAUCCUGCCAUCGCCCACCA